rnacentral:lncRNA from 10 species
AGCGGGGGUAAAAUCUACAUCUGGCAUGAUUCACCACCCUAGUGAUAACACAUAGUACAUCCGUAAGGGUCACCAAGUUCCGGACGCAUCCUGAGAAAUGUGAAGACUGUGAUUCUAGCAACGAGGAGGAGACCUGGGUCACUGGGUUGAAAGAUGUGAUGAGGCAACAUGUGAUGCCCAUUCUUGAUGGAAACAAACCAGCAAAGGGUUUUUCUCAUUGUUUUAAGUGCUUUUAAUGAAUUGAUUCAUUAACCACAGAGAUAUUUUCCACAGCACCACUUACUGCCGAACUUUCUGCCAAGAACAAGGCCAAAGGCAAAGAUCUCCGGACAGCUGCAGCAUCAGGGAAGAUUGAUGCAGUUAUAUCAUUAACUUGAAAUAUAUCCCUUGAAGGCUUCCCCAUAUUAAACUAUCCAGCCAAACACCAGAUAAUGACUCCCUUCUCCACAGCCUGUCCACACUGCCAUUAUCACAUCUUUUUCUCCGAAAGACCAUCCCGACAUUAUUUAUCACUGUACCCAGUACUCAGAGAAUGCCUAAUACACAGACUCACUCCAUAGUGAGUUAAACUUCAUUUAAAUGUGCCUCAGAAGCUACACUGAAGCAGAAAGAACUAGUGGUACCCCUGGAAGCCACACCUGCUCUUCCUAUGCUCCAGGGCUCUGUGCCAUUCCUGCAGCUUGAGCCAGGAGGAAUGUUUGCAAGGAUACCAGCCAUUUUGCCAAUGUGCACAGUUUUUCUUUAGUCAUUACUGGAGGAGACUGACUUUCUUCUGUUUCAAAUAUCUAAAGAUCACUUUCAGAGCAAACUGAGAGUAAACUAACUGGAUGGGCUAAUCCUACCUUGGAUCCUCCUCUGCCAUUUCAUUGUUAGAAUCAAUUUCUGCAGGAGUAUUUCACAUAUUUUACUGUCAGUGUCUCUGCAAACCCAACACAUUAUGG